GACGAACGCUGGCGGCGUGCUUAACACAUGCAAGUCGAACGGUGAAGCGCCUUCCUUUUUGGUGGGUGUGGAUGAGUGGCGAACGGGUGAGUAACACGUGAGUAACCUGCCCCCUUCUUCUGGAUAACCGCAUGAAAGUGUGGCUAAUACGGGAUAUUCUGGGUCUGUCGCAUGAUGGGUCUGGGAAAGAUAUUGUUUCGGUGGGGGAUGGGCUCGCGGCCUAUCAGCUUGUUGGGGGGGUGAUGGCCUACCAAGGCGGUGACGGGUAGCCGGCCUGAGAGGGUGGACGGUCACACUGGGACUGAGACACGGCCAAGACUCCUACGGGAGGCAGCAGUGGGGAAUAUUGCACAAUGGGCGAAAGCCUGAUGCAGCGACGCCGCGUGAGGGAUGGAGGCCUUCGGGUUGUGAACCUCUUUCGCCAGUGAAGCAGGCCUGCCUCGUUUGUGGGUGGGUUGACGGUAGCUGGAUAAGAAGCGCCGGCUAACUACGUG
rnacentral:rRNA from 1 species